AACGAACGCUGGCGGCAUGCCUAACACAUGCAAGUCGAACGAGACCUUCGGGUCUAGUGGCGCACGGGUGCGUAACGCGUGGGAACCUGCCCUUAGGUUCGGAAUAACUCCCCGAAAGGGGUGCUAAUACCGGAUAAUGUCUUCGGACCAAAGAUUUAUUGCCUUUGGAUGGGCCCGCGUUGGAUUAGCUAGUUGGUAGGGUAAAAGCCUACCAAGGCGACGAUCCAUAGCUGGUCUGAGAGGAUGAUCAGCCACACUGGGACUGAGGCACGGCCCAGACUCCUACGGGAGGCAGGAGUGGAGAAUAUUGGACAAUGGGCGAAAGCCUGAUCCAGCAAUGCCGGGUGAGUGAUGAAGGCCUUAGGGUUGUAAAGCUCUUUUACCCGGGAUGAUAAUGACAGUACCGGGAGAAUAAGCUCCGGCUAACUCCGUG
rnacentral:rRNA from 1 species